rnacentral:piRNA from 1 species
GACUUCGUUGGUCUGAAAAUGCUUGCACAGU